GGAUGUGAGGGCGAUCUGGCUGAAACAUCCGUCACUUCACUGAUUUGCCAGGGUUGAUUCUGCCGAUCUGGCUGGCGAGGCUUCCUCAGCACUCCACUGCAUCC
rnacentral:snRNA from 1 species